rnacentral:rRNA from 1 species
UACGUAGGGUGCAAGCGUUAAUCGGAAUUACUGGGCGUAAAGCGUGCGCAGGCGGCUUUGCAAGACAGAUGUGAAAUCCCCGGGCUUAACCUGGGAACUGCAUUUGUGACUGCAUGGCUGGAGUGCGGCAGAGGGGGAUGGAAUUCCGCGUGUAGCAGUGAAAUGCGUAGAGAUGCGGAGGAACACCGAUGGCGAAGGCAGCCCCCCUGGGCUAGCACUGACGCUCAGGCACGAAAGCGUGGGGAGCAAACGGG